rnacentral:rRNA from 1 species
GGGGGCCUUGUGCUCCCGGGCCCGCGCCCGCCGAAGACCCCUCGAACGCUGCCCUGAAGGUUGCCGUCUGAGUAUAGAAUCAAUCAUUAAAACUUUCAACAACGGAUCUCUUGGUUCCGGCAUCGAUGAAGAACGCAGCGAAAUGCGAUAAGUAAUGUGAAUUGCAGAAUUCCGUGAAUCAUCGAAUCUUUGAACGCACAUUGCGCCCCCUGGCAUUCCGGGGGGCAUGCCUGUCCGAGCGUCAUUGCUAACCCUCCAGCCCGGCUGGUGUGUUGGGUCGACGUCCCCCCCGGGGGACGGGCCCGAAAGGCAGCGGCGGCGCCGCGUCCGAUCCUCGAGCGUAUGGGGCUUUGUCACGCGCUCUGGUAGGGUCGGCCGGCUGGCCAGCCAGCGACCUCACGGUCACCUAUUUUUUCUCUUAGGUUGACCUCGGAUCAGGUAGGGAUACCCGCUGAACUUAAGCAUAUCAAUAAGCGGAGGAAAAGAAACCAACAGGGAUUGCCCUAGUAACGGCGAGUGAAGCGGCAAGAGCUCAAAUUUGAAAUCUGGCUCCUCCGGGGUCCGAGUUGUAAUUUGCAGAGGAUGCUUCGGGUGCGGUCCCCGUCUAAGUACCCUGGAAUGGGUCGUCAUAGAGGGUGAGAAUCCCGUCUGGGACGGGUGGCCGUGUCCGUGUGAAGCUCCUUCGACGAGUCGAGUUGUUUGGGAAUGCAGCUCUAAAUGGGUGGUAAAUUUCAUCUAAAGCUAAAUAUUGGCCGGAGACCGAUAGCGCACAAGUAGAGUGAUCGAAAGAUGAAAAGCACUUUGAAAAGAGAGUUAAACAGCACGUGAAAUUGUUGAAAGGGAAGCGCUUGCGACCAGACUCGCCCGCGGGGGUUCAGCCGGUACUCGUACCGGUGUACUCCCCCGUGGGCGGGCCAGCGUCGGUUUGGGCGGCCGGUCAAAGGCCUCCGGAAUGUAUCGCCCUUCGGGGCGUCUUAUAGCCGGGGGUGCAAUGCGGCCAGC